rnacentral:rRNA from 1 species
GAUGAACGCUAGCGGCAGGCUUAAUACAUGCAAGUCGAACGGUAAGGUCCCUUCGGGGAUACACGAGUGGCGCACGGGUGCGUAACGCGUAUGCAAUCUGCCAUCAGCUGGAGAAUAGCCCGGGGAAACCCGGAUUAAUACCCCAUAAUAUCACACUUUCGCAUGUUUGUGUGAUUAAAGUUUCGGCGGCUGAUGAUGAGCAUGCGUGACAUUAGCUAGUUGGUGAGGUAACGGCUCACCAAGGCAACGAUGUCUAGGGGUCCUGAGAGGGUUAACCCCCACACUGGUACUGAGACACGGACCAGACUCCUACGGGAGGCAGCAGUAAGGAAUAUUGGUCAAUGGGCGAAAGCCUGAACCAGCCAUGCCGCGUGCAGGAUGACUGCCCUACGGGUUGUAAACUGCUUUUCUACGGGAAAAAACUUUCGGUCGUGCACCGGAAUUGAUGGUACCGUAGGAAUAAGCAUCGGCUAACUCCGUGCCAGCAGCCGCGGUAAUACGGAGGAUGCAAGCGUUAUCCGGAUUCAUUGGGUUUAAAGGGUGCGUAGGCGGAUAUGCCAGUCAGUGGUGAAAUCUCCCGGCUUAACCGGGAAACUGCCAUUGAUACUGUAUAUCUUGAGUAUAGUUGUAGUGGGCGGAAUACGGUAUGUAGCGGUGAAAUGCAUAGAUAUGCCGUAGAACACCGAUCGCGAAGGCAGCUCACUAAACUAUCACUGACGCUGAGGCACGAAAGCGUGGGUAGCAAACAGGAUUAGAUACCCUGGUAGUCCACGCUGUAAACGAUGAUCACUCGCUGUUGGCGAUACACUGUCAGCGGCUGAGCGAAAGCAUUAAGUGAUCCACCUGGGGAUUACGUCGGCAACGAUGAAACUCAAAGGAAUUGACGGGGGCCCGCACAAGCGGUGGAGCAUGUGGUUUAAUUCGAUGAUACGCGAGGAACCUUACCUGGGCUUAAAUGCAGGACGACAUCCCGUGAAAACGGGACUUCUUCGGACGGCCUGCAAGGUGCUGCAUGGUUGUCGUCAGCUCGUGCCGUGAGGUGUCGGGUUAAGUCCCAUAACGAGCGCAACCCCUAUUCUUAGUUACCAUCAGGUUAUGCUGGGGACUCUAAGGAAACUGCCUACGCAACGUAGUGAGGAAGGUGGGGAUGACGUCAAAUCAGCACGGCCCUUAUGUCCAGGGCUACACACGUGCUACGAUGGCCGGUACAGAGGGCAGCUGCCUGGUGACAGGUGGCUAAUCUCGAAAGCCGGUCUCAGUUCGGAUCGGAGUCUGCAACUCGACUUCGUGAAGUUGGAAUCGCUAGUAAUCGCGCAUCAGCAACGACGCGGUGAAUACGUUCCCGGGCAUUGUACACACCGCCCGUCAAGCCAUGGAAGCUUGGGGUA